rnacentral:rRNA from 1 species
AACGAACGCUGGCGGCAUGCCUAACACAUGCCAGUCGAACGAGACCUUCGGGUCUAGUGGCGCACGGGUGCGUAACGCGUGGGAACCUUCCCUUAGGUUCGGAAUAACUCCCCGAAAGGGGUGCUAAUACCGGAUAAUGUCUUCGGACCAAAGAUUUAUCGCCUUUGGAUGGGCCCGCGUUGGAUUAGCUAGUUGUUAGGGUAAAAGCCUACCAAGGCGACGAUCCAUAGCUGGUCUGAGAGGAUGAUAAGCCACAAUGGGACUGAGAAACGGCCGAGACUGCUACGGGAGGGAGGAGUGGGGAAUAUUGGAAAAUGGGCGAAAGCCUGAUACAGCAAUGCCGCGUGAGUGAUGAAGGCCUUAGGGUUGUAAAGCUCUUUUACCCGGGAUGAUAAUGACAGUAACGGGAGAAUAAGCUCCGGCUAACUCCGUG